rnacentral:rRNA from 1 species
UACGUAGGGGGCAAGCGUUGUCCGGAAUCAUUGGGCGUAAAGCGCGCGUAGGUGGCCUCGUAAGUCAGCUGUGAAAGUCAAGGGCUCAACCCUUGAAUGCCGGUUGAUACUGUCGGGCUAGAGUCCGGAAGAGGCGAGUGGAAUUCCCGGUGUAGCGGUGAAAUGCGCAGAUAUCGGGAGGAACACCAAUGGCGAAGGCAGCUCGCUGGGACGGUACUGACGCUGAGACGCGAAAGCGUGGGGAGCAAACAGG